GUGGGGAAUAUUGGGCAAUGGGCGAAAGCCUGACCCAGCAACGCCGCGUGAAGGAAGAAGGCUUUCGGGUUGUAAACUUCUUUUGUCAGGGACGAAAAAAAUGACGGUACCUGACGAAUAAGCCACGGCUAACUACGUGCCAGCAGCCGCGGUAAUACGUAGGUGGCAAGCGUUAUCCGGAUUUACUGGGUGUAAAGGGCGUGUAGGCGGGAAAGCAAGUCAGAUGUGAAAACUAUGGGCUCAACCCAUAGCCUGCAUUUGAAACUGUUUUUCUUGAGUACUGGAGAGGCAGAUGGAAUUCCUAGUGUAGCGGUGAAAUGCGUAGAUAUUAGGAGGAACACCAGUGGCGAAGGCGAUCUGCUGGACAGCAACUGACGCUGAGGCGCGAAAGCGUGGGGAGCAAACAGGAUUAGAUACCCGGGUAGUCC
rnacentral:rRNA from 1 species